UUACCUACAUAGUAUAAUUGGUAAAGCAGCGAUCUAUUAUUACCGAUUGAGUAGUCGAUAAAAAUAAGAAUCUACUAUCUAUUGAUAACAAGUCGAACUAGAAAGAGUAAAAGUCUAGUUGUAAAGAGUAUUGCAGCGAAUCUGAUUCCUCGUAUUUCUUAUUUAGAUUUCUGAGAAUACUAUUUGCUUAUUUAAAAAUUUUUAUCUUUAUAAAUGGUAUUACUAAUAGACGAUUUUUCAUUAUCUUUUUCUCUAAAAUAUACUUAGAACUCUAAGAUGAAGGACGAAAGCUUCAUAAUUAAGAGAUGCUAGGUUGAUUUUUAUUAAAACAGAUUAUCACCUUUCGCUCAAAACGUAUGUGACUUCAGCGACAGGUAUGGACGAAAUAUGAACUAUAAACGCAAGCGGAGAAUGCUAUUCCUAUCAUGCGUUUAUCAUAACGAUAUAUAAGCUUAUGUUGGUUAUUCCUCUCUCAUGCGUACAUAACAAUCGGUUUCGUUGGGUUAGAGUAAGUAGUUUAAUAGCUGUGAACUCAUUUUUCAGUUUCUUAUAUGUAUAUCUUUCUUCGAUGCAGCGUGCGUCUCACAGUGUUCCGUGUUAGAUACGCAUUUGUUUCACGAUAAAUGCAUAGAAAUAUGCGCGUUGCUUGAUCUAUUGACAAGUUUCAAUGCAUCGCAAAUACUACCGACCGAUAGGUCUUACUACAUAGAAGUUGCUGCAUUUGAAGAUUCUAGGGCUGACUGUGACUUUACUCUAAAAUCCACGUACCGCAAUGCCGUUCCACAAUGUCUUUCCGUUUCGAGAGCUUCAGACUUCUUAACUAACAGGAGAAUUGUGAGACCCCGCUUACGGAUAGCUCUACGGUUAGCUUCAGACAACGGAAUAUUAAGCACGACCAUUCGUGCUUUCCUAAUUUCGAACAAUAAAGAACGGAGUCCACGGUAGGACCUUUAAUCGCGCCUGAACACCUACGUGAGUUUUAGAAAAACGGUGACUAUACUCUACAAUCCGCGUUUCCAGGGUGACACAAACAAUCAGACGGUUUAAUCGCGCCCGCGAACACCCACUCCUGUGUCCAUUGACACGCGCAUGGGUAUUCUUCUAUUCUUCUCGUAUUCUCGCGUAAAAAUCGAUGAUGAACCGAGCCAUUCAACGAUACAUUGGACUCAUCCGACCGCAGAUGAAUUUAUUCCUCGAUGAUCCAGACUGAAGAAGAAGAAGAGAAGGAGAAAAUAAGAGAAAGACAAAAAAGAAAGACGGAAAGUGCGCGCACGUAACAACGAUGGAAUUCGGAAUGAGAGGUGGACAUAUUGAAUAUCGCUCGAUGAUCCCUCGAUGAUCCCUGAAAAAAAAGAAGAGAAAAAAAAGAAAUAUGAGAUAGAAAAGAAUCGAAGAAAAAAGAAAAGAAGGCCGGAGAAUGAAAAGAAAAGAGAGCCGAAGAAAGAAAAGGAGAGAGAAUGAGGUGGACAUAUUGAAUCGCUCUACCCGAUCAAAAUCGGAG